rnacentral:rRNA from 14 species
UCGAGCAGAGACGAAAGUCGGUCAUAGUGAUCCGGUGGUCCCGCGUGGAAGGGCCAUCGCUCAACGGAUAAAAGGUACUCUGGGGAUAACAGGCUGAUACCGCCCAAGAGUUCAUAUCGACGGCGGUGUUUGGCACCUCGAUGUCGGCUCAUCUCAUCCUGGGGCUGAAGCAGGUCCCAAGGGUAUGGCUGUUCGCCAUUUAAAGCGGUACGUGAGUUGGGUUCAGAACGUCGUGAGACAGUUUGGUCCCUAUCUGCCGUGGGUGUCGGAGAAUUGACAGGAUCUGCCCCUAGUACGAGAGGACCGGGGUGAACGUACCUCUUGUGGACCUGUUGUGGCGCCAGCCGCAGUGCAGGGUAGCUAUGUACGGCCGGGAUAACCGCUGAAGGCAUCUAAGCGGGAAACCCACCUGAAAACGAGUACUCCCUAUCAGAGCCGUGGUAGACCACCACGUUGAUAGGCCGGGUGUGGAAGUGCG